CACCCCCCGCCUGUCUCACUGACUCCCCCCCCCUCCCCCCCGCUGCCGCUUUCUCCUCCUCUUCUUUCUGCAGCCCAUUCCCCACGGCUGGGCCCGGCCUGACCCACCUUCCAAGCCGCUCCCGCCUGACCCGCUUCCUAAGGAAUCCCAGGCCUUGCUGCGGGACAGGCCGCCCCCCCCCACGCGCCCACUGCCUGCAGACCCUGUGCUGAAAGGCACUCAGGUAACCGCGCCACGCGGGGUGAUGCUGGCGGUGGCACGGAUCUGUGUGUGGGGAGGGAUGUCUGGCUGUGGGGGCCAGGCUGCCUGUGUGGGGUGGGGGGGAUCGACCUCGUCUCCCCCCAAGGGAUGUGCAGGGCACAGCUGGCGGGGGGGGAGCAGUGGGUGCUGCGUGAGCUCCCUCGCCUUGCACGGGGCCCCGGGACAUGAGCCCUCCUCAGUAACUCGCCCUGACGUUUCUCCGCAGCCACCAGGCCCUGCCCGGCUGCCUCUGCCCAAGAGGCUGCUGCCCUCGGAUCCCACCGGGCCCCUCGUCUCCGGGUCUGAGCUGUCCUCGGUGCACUCCUACGGCCCCCACGUCAUGGUGCUGCCCUCCAGGCCAGCUCCCCCGCCCCCCGCUGGGCAUC
rnacentral:lncRNA from 1 species